rnacentral:rRNA from 1 species
GAUGAACGCUGGCGGCGUGCCUAAUACAUGCAAGUCGAGCGAACGGACGAGAAGCUUGCUUCUGUGAUGUUAGCGGCGGACGGGUGAUGAACACGUAGAUAACCUACCUAGAAGACUGGGAUAACUUCGGGAAACCUAAGCUAAUAUCGGAUAAUAUUUUGAACCGCAUGGUUCAAAAGUGAAAGCCGUUCUUGCUGUCACUUAUACAUGGAUCCGCGCUGCUUUAGCUAGUUGGUAAGGUAACGGCUUACCAAGGCGACGAUGCAUAGCCGACCUGAGAGGGUGAUCGGCCACACUGGAACUGAGACACGGUCCAGACUCCUACGGGAGGCAGCAGUAGGGAAUCUUCCGCAAUGGGCGAAAGCCUGACGGAGCAACGCCGCGUGAGUGAUGAAGGUCUUCGGAUCGUAAACCUCUGUUAUUAGGGAAGAACAUAUGUGUAAGUAACUGUGCACAUCUUGACGGUACCUAAUCAGAAAGCCACGGCUAACUACGUG